rnacentral:lncRNA from 1 species
AAAAUCUCCAUUCUCCUAUUGAUCAUUUGUAACUUUUAGGACAACCACAGGAGGCAGGAUAAUAAUACAUGUGUGGUAGAAGCUGAACCAUGACACAGAAAUCACGAGAGGGGUCAAAGACACAGUUGAUACACAUGGGAUGAGCCUUGUGUUACAGGCCCACCAACUGACUGGAUAUGGCAGUUCUGCCACUUGAAGAAAUGACCUCCAGUGUGUUCUUCGCAGCU